CACAACAAUGUAUUAGAUUUAAUAAGUAUAAACAAUGUCUUUAUUUAGAACAUAUAUUGUUGCUGACCUGCUACCUAACAGGACAAAAUCAAUAAGAGGAAACAAAAAACAAACAAAGUCAUUUUAGACCAUCUAAUUGUAAGAAGAAAAUAAAACUAGGUGAUGUGAUAGAGAGAUAAUAGGGAAAGAGAAAAUCUACUUCAAGACCUGGGUAGAACGGACUUAAGUGACAAACUGUUUUUAUUCUUUCCUCAGAAAACCUUGGAAUCUGCCUGUCCUUCUGGGUUGUCUCUCUCCAGUGGUUGGGAAAAGAGCUAGAAAAAUAAUGAGGUGUUAUCAGUCACCAGCAUCAAGAGUAAUUUCCUCUUGACACUCCUCUGAGAUUUGCUAUAAUAUUGGUGCCUAAGAGUUUGGGAAAAUUUACCAGUGAAACCAUCUGGACCUGGAAUUUCUUUGUUAAGCUGAUUGGAUCCUCAGUGAGGAGAUUAUAUGAAUCAAGAACACUGGAACUUCUUCAAUAGACUCCCGGACUCCCACCUGGGUACCCUUGUGCAUGGGUGACUGCCAAAUCAGAUGUUCUGUGAGGGCAGACAGAGAGAACUCCUAUUCUGACAUUGUACUGACAUCGCUCCACCAAUUUGACAGCAUAUCCUUCUUUCAGUUCCUGAUAAAAGAGAAAGUAGGAUGUAAAUUUUUAAUCUUCAGAUAGAUUGAAAUCAUAUUACAUAUCUUUUACAACCACAAUGGUAUAAAACUAGAAAUGAUUAACAAGAGGAAAGCUGGAAUAUUCACAAAUAUGUGGAAAUAAAACAACCCACUCUUGAAAAAACAAUGGGUUAAAGAAGAAAUCAAAAGAGAAAUAUAAAAAUAUCUUGAGAUGAACAAAAAUGGAAACACAAUUGAAGAAAAUUUAUGGGAUGCAGCAAAAGCAAUUCUAAGAUGGAAGCUUAUAGAGAUAAAUGCUUACAUUUAAGUGCUUACUCUUAAAACUAGUAAACAAAUUCAGUGAAGUUGCAGGAUAUACAAUCAACAUACAAAAAUCAGUUGCACUUCUAUAAACUAACAAUGAACUAUCUGAAAAAGAAAUUAAGAAAAGUAUAAUUUACAAUAGCAUCAAAACCAAAAAUACUUAGGAAUAAAUUUAACCAAGUUGAUGAAAGAUGUGUACACUGAAACUAUAGGACAUCGAUGAAAGAAAUUGAAGAAGACACAAAUAAAUGCAAAGAUAUUUCCUUUCAUAUAUUAGAAAAAUGAACAUAGAUAAAAUAUUCAUACUACCCAAAAUGAUCUACGGAUUCAAUGUAAUCUCUAUCAAAAUUCCAAUGGCCUUUUUCAUAGGAAUAGAAAAAAAAUCUUAAAAUUCAUCUAGAACCACAAAAGAUCUCAAAUAGCCAAAACAAACUUAAGAAAGAAGAACAAAGCUGAAGGAUCACACUUCCUAAUUUCAAACUAUAUUAUAAAGCUAUAGUAAUCGAAACAGUAUGAUACUGGCAUAAAAACAAACAUGUAGACCAAUGGAUCAAAUUAGAGAGCCCAGAAAUAAAUCCAUACAUUUACAGUCAACUGAUCUUCAACUAGGAUGCCAAGAACACACAAUGGGGAAAGGAUAGUCUCUUCAAUAAGUCAUGUUAAAAAAAUUAGAUAUUCACAUGCAAAAGAAUUAAAACUGGACUCCUGUCUUAUACUACUGACAAAAAUUAACUUGAAGUGGAUUAAAGACUUAAAUGUAAAAACUGAAACUGUAAAACUCCUAGAUUUUUUGAAUAUGACACCAAAAGCACAGGCAAAAAAACAAAAAUUAACAAGUGGGACUACUUCAAACUACAAAGCUUCUGCAUCAGCAAAGGAAACAAUCAACAAAAUGAAAAGGCAAUCUAUGGAAUGAGAGGAAAUAUUUGCAAAUCAUAUAUCUGAUAAGAGGUUAAUAUCUAAAAUAUAUAAGGAACUCAUACAACUCAAUAGCAAUAAUCGAAUAUUGUUAUUAAAAAACAGGCAAAGGAACUGCAUAGACAUUUUUCCAGAGCAGACUUAAAAAUGACCAAUAGGUAUAUUUAAAGGUGUUUAACAUCACUAAUCACCAGGGAAGUGCAAAUCAAAACCACAAUAAGAUAUCACCUCAUACAUGUUAGGAUGGCUAGCAUCAAAAAGACAAGAGAUAACAUAUGCUGGCAAGGAUGUGGAGAAAAGGGAAUCCUUUUGGAUCGGUGGAAAUUGGAUUCCACUAUUGGUGGAAAUGUAAAUUUGUAUACCCACUAUGGAAAAGACUAUGGAGUUUCCUCAAAACAAUUAAAAAUAUAGCUACCUAUUGUUAAUUGGCAGCAAUUGGUAGCAAUUUUUAAUUUCUGGCAUGAUCCAGCAAUCCUACUUCUGAGUAUGUAUCCAAAGGAAAUGAUACAGUACCUCAAAGAGAUAUCUGUACUCCCAUGUUCACUGCAGCAUCAUUCACAAUAGCCAAGAUAUGGAAACAACCUAUGUGUCCAUCAAUGGAUGAAUGGAUAAAGAAAAAAAAAAUAUAUAUAUAUAACAAUAUUAUUUAGUCAUAAAAAAGAAGGAUAUCCUGACAUUCGCAGCAACAUGCAUGAACCAGGAGGGAAUUGUGCUAAGUGAAAUAUGCUAGACAGAGAAAGACAAAUACUGUAUGGUAUCACUUAUACGUGAAAUUAAAGGAAAAAGGUUGAACUCACAGAAACAGAAAGUAGAA